ensembl:lncRNA
CUUCUUCCCUUCAGUGACUCAAGAUCGUGUCAUAUUAAGCUAACCAAUACAUGAUCUUAAUUAAUAUGGUUUAAUGAUUUAUACCUUACUUCCACAGUUCCCUUCACUUUUACCUGUACCCAUUCUAUUGUUUGUCAUAUCUUGUUUCUUUUUUUAGUUUAUUUAUUUAUUUAUUUAUUUAUUUAUUUAUUUAUUUAUUUAUUUAUACAUACAUACUCUAAGUACAUGUACACCUGCAGGCCAGACGAGGGCAUCAGAUCCCAGAAUAGAUGGUUGUGAGCCACCAUGUAGUUGCCAGGAAUUGAACUCAAGACCUCUGGAAAGAACAGACAGUGCUGUUUCCUGAUGAUCCACUGUUCAGCCCAUUCUUUUUUCUUAAAAUCACAAACUUGUUCAUAUUUCCUUCCUAAUAAGUGAAUUUUCUCUUUAGUAGGCUGGUGACAUUAUCAUUGUCUUUCAUUUAAGGAUGUCUUCCUGUCCUGGAUGUAGUUUUUAUGGCUACAUGCCUAAGUGGAUCCAGACCAGGCUUGGACACAUGUCAGUGCAAUGCCUUCAGAUGCCAGAAGAGGACAUCAGGAUGCCCUGGAUGUGAGGUUUCCAAGUGGUUGAGAGCAGCCUACUGUUGCUUCGUGGUGGGAACUGAACCUGGGUCUUCAGCAAGAGCAGCAAGUACUCUUAGCUA